rnacentral:sRNA from 1 species
GAGCAGUGUUAAAAUCUCCUAUUAAUGUGUAAUGUACCUGUCAGUGCCUCCUUUAUUAAGGGGUUCUUUGAGAAUAAAAGAGAAAAGACCUACUUUAUUUGACAGCAAAACUGUUCUAAUUGUUAAUAAGGACUUUUAAAAAUUGUUUUUGAUUUGCUAAGCUCAGAAAAAAUGUCUCUCAGUGCAUCAGUUCUUUGUAAAGCUUACUACGAAGUAUUUAUAUGCUAAGGAAAACAACUGAGGAUGUGGGUGGCUUAAAUCUGUAUUUUCAUCAUGUAUGUGAGUUUUUGUUUUUUUUUUUAAGUAAAGAAAUUUUCUGCAAAGAUCGUUACCUUAAAAAAGUUUAGCCUGGGCGUGAGCCACCGCGCCCGGCCGAACAUUAGUUUUUAAAGAAAUGUAUUAUGAAUAUAGAUAGAAAACCCAAAGUGAAGGAAUAGAAAAUGAAAUAUCAGAUUCUUUUAAUCUAUCAUAAUUAUGUGAGCAUAACUUAGUAUUUUGAAAUAGAUUAAUGUAGUCAGCAAACAAUUCAUGUAUUACCUAUAAUAGAUAUCAUAUAACAUUUAAUAACAUACAGUUCUUGUUCCUGAAGACCUAACCUAGAAAAUAACUCCAUAACAAGAAGAAUCUCUGUCAUAAUAAACCAACAGCAGACAUUUUCUAAAGGCAUUAAAAGUAUAUUUGAUACUGGCCUUUAUUAAUGUGAAAUUCUUGUGGAUCUGUGAAAUAAAGAGGAGUACUUUCUUUU